UUCCCAUGUUUUUAGUGGGAUAAUAAUGUCAGCACUUCUGAGAGAUUUUUGAUGAACAUUAUAUAACUUGUUUUGUAAGCAUAUUGGACACUUUUUAGUUUAAAAAAGGUAAAACUUUAGUAGAAAAAAACUAAAUUUAACUGAGUUAGGAACGCAUGUAGUUACUACUGUUUGGAUUAGUGCCACCAUGGCCAAUGUUCAUUUUUUUGCAAAACUCAUCCUGACAUCUAAUUGUUAUUUGUUGUGUGGGUGUGCGCACAGCCGUGUAUGUGGGUAGCAUACCUCUGUAAAUCGCAGUGUUCUCAUUUAAUUUUAUUUUAUUCCGUAAGUAUUGGUGACCUUGGCCUCUGGAAUUCGAGUCAUAAUUGAAUCGCCUGGAUGAAAAUAAUAAUCGCUAUGCGAUUAAUGCCGUACUCGCUUAGUGGUCUCGUGUUUCAGUUAUUUCAUAACCCGAUGAUCGGGCAUAGCACUGAGUUUUCCACAUAUUCAUAUUUACUGGCAAUGAAGUAACGAAUCAUCGCGAAGUGAAUCAACUUAGGAACUAUAUUUUUGGUAAAAGUUAGUUAGUAGCAUUGUGCCAGCAAACAUAUACUCAAAAGUGCUUGAGGAUGACGGUUUCCUCAGUAGCCUCACACACUUUAUUACACCGAUAUUGUUACGAUAUUGUUACCCACAAAAUCAAUGGUAACACUGGUGCUCGGAAAUUGAGCGGAAAAAAUUCUGAUAUUGCUGAAUACUAACGGUAGAAAAAAUGGGGUUGAGAAAUAACAAAGCAGUUUGAAUAGAAAUGACAUUAAUAGGCGCAUAAAUGAAAUAAACAAGCUAAUCCAUGAUAUUAAUAUAGUACAGUAUUGUUACCGAUCGCUUUCAAGGCGAUCGGCCCAAUUAAGGAUUUGUUUAAUUUGUAGUAUGUAAGUUGUGAAUAUUUGUUUUGUUUGUGGUUGGCUCAUUAUUAUUGUUGUUAGCUUUUAAUUUAUUUUGUUUUCAAAUUAUUGUAAUUUUUGUUUAACAUAGCUUUAAGUUAUACUAAACAUACUAACAUAAACAUCAUAGUUUACUCCAUAAUUAGGCGUCGAUAAUUUGCGAGAAAAAAAAAGUUAUGUAUUGUUGCCGCUUGUAAGCCCGUGGAUUUCCCGCCGGUUGACAAUCUGGGAAUAAAAGAGGCCUUUGGAGCCCACCCCGGAACGUGCAGACCAGACGUUGGGGCUUUUGACGUGGUUCCCAAGAGACCAUCAGAAAUCCCAGAAGGCGGCCACACCUUACAGGCGGUUACAAAAAUACGAGAAGCGAAAUGUACCGGAAAAACCGCAACGGCAAAAUAGUCCGCACUAAAAAUAUCCCAACCGAUAAAAAUAACCGCUAACCAAAAACAACCCUGACACAACGCCACCCAGGUGCCGGAUGAAGCAAGAAAAUAUAUGACAUCAAGAUCGCUGCAUCCGGGUAAAGGAAAAGAGAGAGAAGAAGAAGAGAGAGGGAGAUCGAGGAUUGGGAGAAGGUCGAUAGUAGAUGACAGACGUUGGAGACGAGGACCAUUAGAGCUUAACCCGUCAGAGCGAAAACACGUACGUGAAAUUUGAAGGCGAUAAUUAAAAGUGGUUUUAAAAGUGAUAGCCAGGAGAAGAAAGUUGCGCUUUAUCUGCAGUGGAAGACAAUAGCGCCAGCUGUGUUCGAGUGAACCAGAUCGCCUCGUGGAGCACGGCAGACCUUGGACACUUUCGGGACGGGACAGCUCAUACACCCUGGGGGAAACCGCCCUCAACCCCGCUCGGUGCUAAGGAAUCCGGACCAGGGAUACGUCGUGGAAUCGAGCCAGUUCGACAAGACAGCGAAGCCCGCAACGUCCCCAGAAGGGAAAUGGCGUGGUAUCAGUGAAACGUGGGGUCAUCAAAACCACACUGGUUGACCGUUAGGCGGUCGAGGUACGUACCCUCUCUCCCUCCCUCCUGCAUGUCAUCGAUGGGCCCCAACGCGUCGUCGUGAUCGGUACCGCAACAUGAACGUUAAAUUCGGAAUAAAGAAGUAAAAUGAA